rnacentral:lncRNA from 1 species
UGCAUGCCUCUUUAUUAUUUAUGACACAUAUUUAUUUCAAACUUUAAGGCUUGUCUAUAACACAAACUUUAUAUUUAUAUAAACGAAACAAUAAAUCUUUUCAACACUAUAUUGUUUACGUUUUCAAACUAAAACAUAUAUGUGCACCAAAUACACCAAUAUCCGUUUAACUCUUUUGUUAGUUAGUAAAUGUUAUUUCUUGUCUGCAUCCAAUACUCCAAUAAUUCUUUACAUCCAAUACUCCAAUAAUCCUUUACAUACAAUACUUCCAAUGAUCCCAAGUCAUUUGUGAAUUUAUAGAUUUUUUCAAUGGUUCUAACACAACACAAAAUUGUUGUUGUAAACUAUCAAAUAAAUCACAUAAAGCACAUGCUGUAGUUUCCUGCAACAAUCAAUGUUAUAUGCUUAUAUGGAAUAAAAAAAACAAACUGUCUGUUUAAUCAAUCCAAUAAGACUUGUACUCCUAUUACUUUACAACAAUAUACUUAGUCCAGUUGAAAUACAUAAAUAAAAACAUCUUUCCUGCUAAAUCAUGUUCAUGACAUGAUUUGAUAAUAUCAACACGAACAUGUCACAUUUGAACAAGACAAACAUGUGUAUGAUAGGUUACCUAACUCUUACUCCAGUCUAAAAAUUCAAAUAAUAUACAAAAAAAAAUGUUUUAAGUGUAAUCAUAUACAUUUAAUCAUCACAUUACUUUAGUGGUGAUUAGUUAUUCAUAUAGUUAUAUAAUAAGGGAUCCUGUACUUUCAGGGAAUUGACUGUUGAUGAGAUGAUAUUCAACAUCUCAUUUUAUACUCAUUACAAGAGUGCACACGCUGCAGUGUCUCGCUUUCUUUUAUAUUAGCACAUACUUACAACUUCUCGUCCAAUCAAAUUGCUUGAAUUUGCCUUCUAAUUUUCAUAGUACAUACUUUUUCCGUGUACUAAGUAACUACGCAUGAAUGACCGCAAGGGUAAGAUUUCAUUGUAUUGUAAUCAAGAUAUUAGAACAAAAAUUGCUACUGGCUAUUUUGAAAUAAAUGAUGUGUUCCAAAUUUAACUAAAUAGUUUGUAAUUAGUUUUCAAACAGAUUUUUAACAUCCUACUAAUCAAUCUUUUGAUCUAAAUUUUUUUUUUUGACAAUUAAAAAAGUUUUUUUCAUUUAAAUAAAGAGUAAUAAUAAUGGUGCUUUAUACCUUGAUUAAAGUAAAACUCAAUCUAAAAUUUGUAAUCCUUUAUCUUCCAUGCAAUUACUUUGUACACAAAAAGAGUCAACCAUGAAUCUUUUGAAGGGAAAAUAUUAAUAAAGCAAUUUGAUAUAUUUAGUCAUCAAUUGGUCGAUAAUUGGUUGCCUAAUGUCCAAUGACAAAUAUUUCAUGCAUAUAAACUAUCCACUAGACUACCUAUGGGUACAUACCAGGGGCAGAUCCAGCCAUUUUUAAAAGGUGUUUCAACCAAAGAUGUGGGAGGGGGAUCCAACUGUUUGUAUUAAGAUAGUUUUAAGUUUUAUGUGAAAUUAAAAAAAUGUUUUCAAGAAUGUAAAGCUUUCACUGCAAUUUAAGAAUUGUCUGCUCUUGGUCAAUUCAUUUUGUCAUCUUACCAUGUAAAUAAGUGAAUGUAUAGUAAAACAACGCUUCGUUCAUAUCAAUAAACAUACUUACACCAGCAGCUACCUUCUUUACAUUCUAAAGUCAAGGGCCUUUUGAAAUCCCAUUUUUACAAUGAUAUUAUAGUGAGUAGAUUUACAAAACUACGUAAAUGAGCUACAUCCAGUCAGCCAAAACAUAUCAAUAGACUAAUUACAGGAUUACUCAAGUUGUAAAUAUGUGCUAAAUUGGAUAUUGUAUAGAAAGGUAUAUACUAUGAAAAUAACAGCUUGGGGCAAAGCCCCUCGCUCUAAUUUUCAUAGUAUAUACCUUUCUAUACAAUAACCGAGACAUAAUUGAUAUUAUGUUGAUAGUCCUAAAUAUAAAGUUUUAUUACAACUGUCACAUUAACUUAACCAAGAAAACUAAACAUUGACCAAUGAACCAUGAAAAUGAGGUCAAGGUCAGAUGAAUCAUGCCAGGCAGGCAUGUACAGCUAACAAUUCUUCCAUUCAAGAAACAAAGUUGAUCUAUUGCUUAUAGUUUAAGAAAAACAGACCAAAACACAACCAGAUGCUCCGCAGGGCGCAGCUUUAUACGACCGCAGAGGUUGAAUCCUGAACGGUUGGGGCAAGUAUGGACACAACAUUCAAGCUGGAUUCAGCUCUAAAUUUGGAUUGUGAUUAAAUAGUUGACACAGCAUAGGUUUCUCUGACACAGAAUGAAUGUGGUCUAAUGAACUUAAAAUAUUUGUUUUGCCUUUGAGCAAUUCACUAUGCUGUUGAAUAUUAAUCCUCUCAAAAAAAUGUUUGAAGAAAUUUUCUUUUUAUUUAUGAAAUCUGAAAAUGAGAAAAAUUUAACCCCCCCCCAUUUUUUUCACAUCCCCUUUUCCCUUUUUCCAAAACUGAUCUCAAUUCAAAUUUCUAAUGGAGUUUGCAACAAUAACUACUCAUUUAAAUACAUCAUAAAAUAUUAAAAUACUCAUUUAAAUACAUCAUAAAAUAUUAAAAUACUCAUUUAAAUACAUCAUAAAAUAUUAAAAUGUAAAAUAAAGUUCUUGUUAUCACUGAAUGGUAAAGAUUGUUUUAAUUUAUCAGUUGGUAGUAAAAGUGAAUAUACAUUGUAUAUUGUAUAAAACAAUGAUUUAAGUUGAUUCAACUACUAUUCUGGACAAAGAAAGAUAAUUCCAUUUUUUUUUAAUUUCUUGCUAUUGCACAAUAUUGUGCAAUUAGAUAUUUCUUGCUAUUGUGCAAUACUGUGCAAUUGAAAAUAUUUGCUAUUGCACAAUAGUGUGCAAUUGGAGAUUUCUUGCUAUUGUGCAAUACUGUGCAUUUGAAAAUUUCUUGCUAUUGCAUAUUACUGUGCAAUUGAAGAUUUCUUGCUAUUGCUGAAUACUG